rnacentral:rRNA from 1 species
GAAUAUGGGGGGACCAUCCUCCAAGGCUAAAUACUCCUGACUGACCGAUAGUGAACCAGUACCGUGAGGGAAAGGCGAAAAGAACCCCGGCGAGGGGAGUGAAAAAGAACCUGAAACCGUGUACGUACAAGCAGUGGGAGCCCCACCACCAAAGCAUUCUCUGGUGUUGAAGGCCCUGCAAAGCAGCAUCGCGGUGGCGGAGCGUCGUUUGCGACGCCCAACACACAAAACAAGCGGUGAAUGCUUUGGGGUGGGGUGACUGCGUACCUUUUGUAUAAUGGGUCAGCGACUUAUAUUCUGUAGCAAGGUUAACCGAAUAGGGGAGCCGGAGGGAAACCGAGUCUUAAUUGGGCGUUAAGUUGCAGGGUAUAGACCCGAAACCCGGUGAUCUAGCCAUGGGCAGGUUGAAGGUUGGGUAACACUAACUGGAGGACCGAACCGACUAAUGUUGAAAAAUUAGCGGAUGACCUGUGGCUGGGGGUGAAAGGCCAAUCAAAC